UCCAGCUUCGUUUCUUCUCGUCUCUCAUACAAUUCUGCUACUUAACCCAUGCAACAUGCUAUAAUAUCGACAAGAUUGGCGUUAAGAAACAAGUUAGCUUCUGCAUGUCAAUGGGAAGCAGUUUCAAUUGCCGUUAAGAUUGACUGACUUGUUUGCGGUAACAUAGAUUCGGGAAGAACUACCUAAUCCCAUCUAUUCACCUUCAGUUAUCUUUGAUUAAUUACAGAAGACAAAUUGACGUGGUUCCAUACCAAAAUUUGGACAAAGAGGAGAAAAAUGGAACCAAGGCUUUGUCUCCUUCCAUAUGGAGAGAUCCAUCUUUAGUCAUUGUGAGUGGUUCUGUUUCUCAAUAUGCUUCCUCGUAUAACAGCUGGGUAGGCCUCGCAGUAGAGCCUUGCGCUGAUCUGGAGGCCUAUUUACUUUAAGCACCUCCUCUGCUUCAUCAUAGAGAUUUGACCACCAUAUUUUGUCAGUUUUUGGGAAACAAUGGUCAAAACUGUUGCUUCUGAAAGGAACCAAGUAAAUGGCGAAAGAGUCAGAGCACGUUCCAUAGAAAAUAACAGACCAAGCAAACUACAUUUUUUUAAUGAUGUGUAUAUAAACGACUGAACUCACUGAUAUAACUACAGAUGACAUGAAUCUGGCACCUUAAGACCACAGAAAAGAGAUAUCACACAAGAAUCUAUGCAAUAAAAAAUAAUACAAGGCACUAAACAAGCUAGCAUUGCCUGAUUCUUAUGUUGCGACAAUGCUAUUUACACACUUUAUAUGUGUACUAAGACUAGAUUGCACGUGAUGAAAUGCAUGGAACGUAUCCUAUUUUAACUACAAGCCAAAAAAUGCCAUUUAGUCUUUUGUUGUUUAUGCUUACUGUAUUUAUAUAUAUAUGUUAACAGAUAAAUUUGGUGAAAACAAAUUGGGGGAGGGGCGAUCAGUGUAAGAUCAUGGUAAAUAAGGGGUUGUUAUUGUAUUGGGGUUGAGGAUUAGUCACAAGAUUGAAUGAGGUGACUUAUCCACAAAUAAUGUGUCUUAUAGGAAGCAAAGCAUUUGAGGAUAAACCCCCUAGAAUGGGGUAGGUUUCUUAUUCUGGAAAGUCCACAAGAAUGGGCCAUUAUUUUUAGAAACAAGUAUCUAAGCCGAUCAUUAGGUGUCAACACGACAACAGCUACUCCCGUUUUCUACCCAGGGGAUAAGGAUUCACACUAUCAGUGGGGAGGAUGGAAGACGAGAUUAACCAAAGUGCUUGGGAUCAGGUAGCACUGUCAAGUGUUUGUGACCAUAAAUUGGAGAAACAGGGAAAAUGCUCUGAAACAGUUUUUAGAUUGCCAGUGAAGGUCAAGUAUAAGCAAGAGUCCUUGCUCUCGUAGUUUUCAUUCGUACAAACUUUACCAGAUGAAUUUGCUAGGCCUCCCAAACAUCUCAUGUGCCUUAUCGUAGAGAUUAGCCCUAUGAUCUUGUUCCUACUUUAGUACCUCCGGACUUUAGCCUCUUUUUCUUUGUUGGCAUGGAGAUGGGUUCUGGGAUUGCACCAUAUUAUUCUAGCGCCUCGACUU
rnacentral:lncRNA from 1 species